CUUUGAUAGUCAUUCUUGUUCCCAUUGCUGUUCAAUACAGAGAGGGAGCUGGCAUCAGAAAACAACACUGGGAGCUGGGGACUGACAGUACAGGAGACCAGAGGGGAGCCAGAGGAAGCACACGCCCUUGAAGACGUUGGGUGCAAGUAUCUGGUCACCAGACUUUUCUAGGUCAUUUCCGUAAGCCACCUGGACAAGCUGGUUGAAGUGAAUAUGGUCUGUUCACAAGUUGCCUGGAAUUGCUUUUCUUUUGCUGUUCUUUGUGUUCUAAAAUGUUCAAUGUCUUGCUCUGGCUCUUCUUUAGUCACUUAUGGCCAAAAGACCUGGUCCCCUGUUCAAGCAGCAAUAAUACCUCCCGGCCCCACAAAUUCCCAAGGAUGUUGCUCUUAAAUUCCACUUAUUUCUUUUUUUCUGUUCUUUCAUCUCUUUUUUUUUUUGCAAGAAAUUAUUGUCUCUCUAUCUCAUACAUAGUUCACUCUUUGCAGUACAAAGUGUUAAAAUGUCAAACAAAAAUAAAUAUCAAUGUUACAGUAGCUAGAAUAUUCAAUAAAAUAGAUCCCUGCCAUUCUUGAUUGAAAUGUUCAGUGAGACUUAAUUUCAUUUGGAUAUUAUUUUCCAGAGAUUUGCGAAGUCUCAUGUUCCUGUUAUUGCAGCUCAUUUCUAGGGGGUGGUAAAGAUGGGGUAGUCUCUCUUCCCAGACAAAAUGCUGGGAGAGAGUGGGAUGAGUCUGGGGGUGGGGUGGAUCUGAAAUGCCAGUAUAGUCACGAGAUCUUCAGGAUGUGUAUUCCUUCAUUACCAGGUAGCAGAGCUGUAGUGUUUAUUGGUCCUAACUGUGGCAUCAGAACACUCCCCAUCUGAAGAGUCACAGUCCGAUUCUUCAAACUGCAUGGGGUUCUG
rnacentral:lncRNA from 1 species